CUGGCCUCAAAUCAGGUAGGGCUACCCGCUGAACUUAAGC
rnacentral:rRNA from 1 species